rnacentral:rRNA from 1 species
GACGAACGCUGGCGGCGUGCUUAACACAUGCAAGUCGAACGGAAAGGCCCUGCUUUUGUGGGGUGCUCGAGUGGCGAACGGGUGAGUAACACGUGAGUAACCUGCCCUUGACUUUGGGAUAACUUCAGGAAACUGGGGCUAAUACCGGAUAGGAGCUCCUGCUGCAUGGUGGGGGUUGGAAAGUUUCGGCGGUUGGGGAUGGACUCGCGGCUUAUCAGCUUGUUGGUGGGGUAGUGGCUUACCAAGGCUUUGACGGGUAGCCGGCCUGAGAGGGUGACCGGCCACAUUGGGACUGAGAUACGGCCCAGACUCCAACGGGAGGCAGCAGGGGGGAGUAUGGCACAGUGGGCGGAAGCCUGAUGCAGCAGCGCCGCGUGCGGGAUGACGGCCUUCGGGUUGUAAACCGCUUUCGCCUGUGACGAAGCGUGAGUGACGGUAAUGGGUAAAGAAGCACCGGCUAACUACGUG